ACCCCCGUUGGCCUCCCAAAGUGCUGGGAUUACAGGCGUGAAUGAAUCACAAUCUUAUUUUUCACUACUUUUUAUUAUUCAAUAUAAAGUUCAUAUUCAAACUUCGCCAGUGUCCCCAAAAGGAUCUUUAUAGCUGUGCUUUUCACCUAGAGGAUCUGAUCAAGGAUUAUGCAUUGCAUUUAUUAAUAAUACCCCCCACACCUUCCUUUUUUUUUUGGAGGCGGAGGGGUCUUUCCAUGACAUCGACUUAUUGGAAGAGUCUAGGUCAACUGUUUUGUAGAUUGUUGCACAAUUUGGAUUUGUCUGAUUUGUCCCUCACUGGUAGAGUCAGGUUUUUUGGUUUCAAGAAUACUACAUAGGUGAUAUCAUGUCCUCAGUGAAUUAUAUCACAAGACUCAGUUUGACCCAUAUUAGUAAUGGCAGUUUUGGCCUCUUGGUUAAAGUAACAUUCACCAAAUUAUCCAGUGUAAAGGUAGCUUUUUCUUUUUGUAAUUAAUGAUUACCUGUGGGAUGACACUAUGAGACUAUAAAUAUCCUGUUUAUAUUUUGCAACUCUGAGAGUUAUGAAAUAAAAGAAUUUUAGACACUCUA